CCUACGGGAGGCAGCAGUGGGGAAUAUUGGACAAUGGGCGAAAGCCUGAUCCAGCCAUGCCGCGUGUGUGAAGAAGGCCUUCGGGUUGUAAAGCACUUUCAGUGGGGAAGAAAGCCUUGGGGCUAAUACCCUCGAGGAAGGACAUCACCCACAGAAGAAGCACCGGCUAACUCCGUGCCAGCAGCCGCGGUAAUACGGAGGGUGCGAGCGUUAAUCGGAAUUACUGGGCGUAAAGCGCGCGUAGGCGGUCUGAUAAGCCGGUUGUGAAAGCCCCGGGCUCAACCUGGGAACGGCAUCCGGAACUGUCAGGCUAGAGUGCAGGAGAGGAAGGUAGAAUUCCCGGGGUAGCGGUGAAAUGCGUAGAGAUCGGGAGGAAUACCAGUGGCGAAGGCGGCCUUCUGGACUGACACUGACGCUGAGGUGCGAAAGCGUGGGUAGCAAACAGGAUUAGAUACCCCAGUAGUC
rnacentral:rRNA from 1 species